GGAAGCGGCAGGCGCAUAUCCCGGAUGUGAAGUCACAAGACGAGGGAGUGCAUUACGAGGGGAGAGAACGACAGUGGGUGGGGUGAGUUCGGGCGUAGGAGAAGGUAGGACGGUUAUGGGUUCGUUUCCCUUAAGCGACAGCCGGGGAUGCUUUCCGUCCAAGUGUUCUAAGAUUGGAGGAUCCAGUGUGCGAUUCGGGUUUCCCAGCAGGUUUCUGGCGGCAGAGUUAUUGGAGACAGCAUUGCAGCUUCUAUAGCGCUCUGGACCACCUCUUGGAUAUCUGGAUGGUCGAGAGGGAUCUCCGACUCUGUUUGUGCUGUUGAGAUGUCGGCUUAUUAUAUAGGAAAAAAAAAAUCCAUGCACUGAUGAGCACAUCCUGCCAUUGAAAAGAAUUUAUUUGGAUUGAUACCAACACAAUAAAGAAUGCUUAUGCCAAGUGCUAGGCUGCAUUAAGAGAGGGAUAGAAUCAAGAUCUGAAGUAUUAAUACCACUUUACAAUGCCUUGGUAAGGCCACACUUGGAAUACUGCAUCCAG